AACAAAAACAUGUCCUUUAGAUAAUAAUUUAAGGUCUAACCUGCCCAAUGAUUAAUUAAAUGGCCGCAGUAUUUUGACUGUGCAAAGGUAGCAUAAUCAUUAGUUUUUUAAUUGAAAGCUUGUAUGAAUGGUUGAACGAGAAAAAAUCUGUCUUUAUUUAUAAAUUUGAAUUUAAUUUUUUAGUUAAAAAGCUAAAAUAAAAUUAAAAGACGAGAAGACCCUAUAGAUCUUUAUAAUAAUUUAAAUAAAUUUUAUUUAGAAUUUUAAAUUUAUUUAUUUAUUUUGUUAUUUUAUUGGGGUAAUAAAAAGAUUUAAUUAAUUCUUUUUUUAUUUUUAUAUAUAAUAAUAAUUUUAAGAUCCAUUAAUAGUGAAAAAUGAUUAAGUUACCUUAGGGAUAACAGCGUAAUUUUUUUAGAGAGUUCAUAUCGAUAAAAAAGUUUGCGACCUCGAUGUUG
rnacentral:rRNA from 1 species